rnacentral:rRNA from 1 species
AGGGAAUUUUCGGCAAUGGGGGAAACCCUGAUGCAGCGACGCCGCGUGGAGGAAGAAGGUUUUCGGAUUGUAAACUCCUGUCGUUAGGGACGAUAAUGACGGUACCUAACAAGAAAGCACCGGCUAACUACGUGCCAGCAGCCGCGGUAAAACGUAGGGUGCAAGCGUUGUCCGGAAUUACUGGGUGUAAAGGGAGCGCAGGCGGACCGGCAAGUUGGAAGUGAAAACUAUGGGCUCAACCCAUAAAUUGCUUUCAAAACUGCUGGCCUUGAGUAGUGCAGAGGUAGGUGGAAUUCCCGGUGUAGCGGUGGAAUGCGUAGAUAUCGGGAGGAACACCAGUGGCGAAGGCGACCUACUGGGCACCAACUGACGCUGAGGCUCGAAAGCAUGGGUAGCAAACAGGAUUAGAUACCCUGGUAGUCCAUGCCGUAAACGAUGAUUACUAGGUGUUGGAGGAUUGACCCCUUCAGUGCCGCAGUUAACACAAUAAGUAAUCCACCUGGGGAGUACGACCGCAAGGUUGAAACUCAAAGGAAUUGACGGGGGCCCGCACAAGCGGUGGAUUAUGUGGUUUAAUUCGAAGCAACGCGAAGAACCUUACCAGGGCUUGACAUCCUACUAACGAGAUAGAGAUAUGUUAGGUGCCCUUCGGGGAAAGUAGAGACAGGUGGUGCAUGGUUGUCGUCAGCUCGUGUCGUGAGAUGUUGGGUUAAGUCCCGCAACGAGCGCAACCCCUAUUGUUAGUUGCUACGCAAGAGCACUCUAGCGAGACUGCCGUUGACAAAACGGAGGAAGGUGGGGACGACGUCAAAUCAUCAUGCCCCUUAUGUCCUGGGCUACACACGUAAUACAAUGGCGGUCAACAGAGGGAUGCAAAACCGUGAGGUGGAGCGAACCCCUAAAAGCCGUCCCAGUUCAGAUCGUGGGCUGCAACCCGCCCACGUGAAGUCGGAAUCGCUAGUAAUCGCGGAUCAGCAUGCCGCGGUGAAUACGUUCCCG